rnacentral:rRNA from 1 species
AACGAACGCUGGCGGCAGGCCUAACACAUGCAAGUCGAACGGGUGUAGCAAUACAUCAGUGGCGCACGGGUGAGUAACACGUGGGAAUCUGCCCUUGGGUUCGGAAUAACUCAGAGAAAUUUGAGCUAAUACCGGAUGAUGACGAAAGUCCAAAGAUUUAUCGCCCAGGGAUGAGCCCGCGUAAGAUUAGCUUGUUGGUGGGGUAAUGGCCUACCAAGGCGACGAUCUUUAGCUGGUCUGAGAGGAUGAUCAGCCACACUGGGACUGAGACACGGCCCAGACUCCUACGGGAGGCAGCAGUGGGGAAUAUUGGUCAAUGGGCGGGAGCCUGAACCAGCCAAGUCGCGUGAAGGAAGAAGGAUCUAUGGUUCGUAAACUUCUUUUGCAGGGGAAUAAAGUGCAGGACGUGUCCUGUUUUGUAUGUACCCUGAGAAUAAGGAUCGGCUAACUCCGUGCCAGCAGCCGCGGUAAUAGUCACGUCGCUGGGACUGACCG